UCGGGAAUUUUGCACAAUGGCCGAAAGGCUGAUGCAGCAACGCCGCGUGAGUGAAGAAGGCCUUCGGGUUGUAAAGCUCUGUUGCCCGUGACGAACGGCCAGCUCAGGAAAUGGGGUUGGUUUGACGGUAGCGGGAGAGGAAGCCCCGGCUAACUACGUG
rnacentral:rRNA from 1 species